ACAAACUGAGCUAUAGCCUACAGUCUUUACAACUUUGAGUCUCAAAGUCAGGUAAAUUGGGAAGAUUUGGUUCACUCCCACCUGGCUUCCUUCAGCUGGGGGGGCCUGGAGUUGCUGACAGCCCUAGGGGCCUAAUUUUCACCAUCAUUCAUUAACCAGUUGCAACUGCAAAGACAUCUUAGUGUAUUCAGCAAAGUGAAGUAGACAGAUGAACAUCAAGAGAUGACUGUGAAAACCUGGAAGAGCAGGGACUCAGAUGACAGGAAAGGAACCACAGCAGUGAGCUCAGAGGCAUGGGGCAUCUCUGUCUGG
rnacentral:lncRNA from 1 species